rnacentral:siRNA from 1 species
UGAAUGUUGACCUACUGACAAA